rnacentral:rRNA from 1 species
UUCCAAGCUUAGAGUUUGAUCCUGGCUCAGGACGAACGCUGGCGGCGUGCUUAACACAUGCAAGUCGAACGAUGAAGCCGCUUCGGUGGUGGAUUAGUGGCGAACGGGUGAGUAACACGUGGGCAAUCUGCCCUGCACUCUGGGACAAGCCCUGGAAACGGGGUCUAAUACCGGAUAUGACACGGGAUCGCAUGGUCUCCGUGUGGAAAGCUCCGGCGGUGCAGGAUGAGCCCGCGGCCUAUCAGCUUGUUGGUGGGGUGAUGGCCUACCAAGGCGACGACGGGUAGCCGGCCUGAGAGGGCGACCGGCCACACUGGGACUGAGACACGGCCCAGACUCCUACGGGAGGCAGCAGUGGGGAAUAUUGCACAAUGGGCGCAAGCCUGAUGCAGCGACGCCGCGUGAGGGAUGACGGCCUUCGGGUUGUAAACCUCUUUCAGCAGGGAAGAAGCGAGAGUGACGGUACCUGCAGAAGAAGCACCGGCUAACUACGUGCCAGCAGCCGCGGUAAUACGUAGGGUGCGAGCGUUGUCCGGAAUUAUUGGGCGUAAAGAGCUCGUAGGCGGCUUGUCGCGUCGGAUGUGAAAGCCCGGGGCUUAACCCCGGGUCUGCAUUCGAUACGGGCAGGCUAGAGUUCGGCAGGGGAGAUUGGAAUUCCUGGUGUAGCGGUGAAAUGCGCAGAUAUCAGGAGGAACACCGGUGGCGAAGGCGGAUCUCUGGGCCGAUACUGACGCUGAGGAGCGAAAGCGUGGGG